UUGAAUUUUUAUAAAUGGUUUCAGUGGGGCAUAAGUUAUAAGCGCGUUGUCUAAACAUACUCCGAACCCCAACUUGCCUUGUCUGUAGAAUUUCUGUUUGAAAUUCUCUAUGUUGGGGCCCCGAACCCCAACUUGCCUUGUCUGUAGAAUUUCUGUUUGAAAUUCUCUAUGUUGGGGCCCCGAACCCCAACUUGCUUUGUCUGUAGAAUUUUUGUUUGAAAUUCUCUAUGUUGGGGCCCCGAACCCCAACUUGCUUUGU
rnacentral:ncRNA from 1 species